GCGGAUGUAGAUAAAUUGGUAACAUCAUUAAUUUUCCAAAUUAAAUAUUUUAUGGGUUCGAGUCCCAUGAUCCGCUU
rnacentral:tRNA from 1 species